rnacentral:rRNA from 1 species
UAAUACGUAGGCAGCAAACGUUGUUCGGAAUUACUGGGCGUAAAGAGUGUGUAGGCGGUUUUGUAAGUUUGGUGUGAAAUCUCCCGGCUUAACUGGGAGGGUGCGCCGAAAACUGCAAGGCUUGAGUGCUGGAGAGGAUAGCGGAAUUCCUGGUGUAGCGGUGAAAUGCGUAGAUAUCAGGAGGAACACCGGCGGUGUAGACGGCUAUCUGGACAGUAACUGACGCUGAGACACGAAAGCGUGGGGAGCAAACAGGAUUAGAUACCCUGGUAGUCCACGCCCUAAACGAUGCAUACUUGGUGUAGGCCAUUCAGUUGGUCUGUGUCGGAGCUAACGCGUUAAGUAUGCCGCCUGGGGAGUACGGUCGCAAGGCUG